GAUUGAGUUUGAUCCUGGCUCAGGAUGAACGCUGGCGGCGUGCCUAAUACAUGCAAGUCGAGCGAACUGAUUAGAAGCUUGCUUCUAUGACGUUAGCGGCGGACGGGUGAGUAACACGUGGGCAACCUGCCUGUAAGACUGGGAUAACUCCGGGAAACCGGAGCUAAUACCGGAUAACAUUUUCUCUUGCAUAAGAGAAAAUUGAAAGAUGGUUUCGGCUAUCACUUACAGAUGGGCCCGCGGUGCAUUAGCUAGUUGGUGAGGUAACGGCUCACCAAGGCAACGAUGCAUAGCCGACCUGAGAGGGUGAUCGGCCACACUGGGACUGAGACACGGCCCAGACUCCUACGGGAGGCAGCAGUAGGGAAUCUUCCGCAAUGGACGAAAGUCUGACGGAGCAACGCCGCGUGAGUGAUGAAGGCUUUCGGGUCGUAAAACUCUGUUGUUAGGGAAGAACAAGUACAAGAGUAACUGCUUGUACCUUGACGGUACCUAACCAGAAAGCCACGGCUAACUACGUGCCAGCAGCCGCGGUAAAAU
rnacentral:rRNA from 1 species